rnacentral:rRNA from 1 species
GUAGGUGGCAAGCGUUGUCCGGGAAUUAUUGGGGCGUAAAGCGCGCGCAGGCGGUUCUUUAAGUCUGAUGUGAAAGCCCACGGGCUCAACCGUGGAAGGUCAUUGGAAACUGGAGAACUUGAGUACAGAAGAGGAAAGCGGAAUUCCACGUGUAGCGGUGAAAUGCGUAGAGAUGUGGAGGAACACCAGUGGCGAAGGCGGCUUUCUGGUCUGUAACUGACGCUGAGGCGCGAAAGCGUGGGGAGCAAACAGGAUUAGAUACCCUGGUAGUCCACGCCGUAAACGAUGAGUGCUAAGUGUUAGGGGGUCUCCGCCCCUUAGUGCUGCAGCUAACGCAUUAAGCACUCCGCCUGGGGAGUACGGCCGCAAAGGCUG